UACGAAGGGUGCAAGCGUUAAUCGGAAUUACUGGGCGUAAAGGGUGCGUAGGCGGUUGUUUAAGUCUGUCGUGAAAUCCCCGGGCUCAACCUGGGAAUGGCGAUGGAUACUGGACAGCUAGAGUGUGUCAGAGGAUGGUGGAAUUCCCGGUGUAGCGGUGAAAUGCGUAGAGAUCGGGGAGGAACAUCGAGUGGCGAAGGC
rnacentral:rRNA from 1 species